GCAUGGGUGGUUCAGUGGUAGAAAUCUUGCCUGCCACGCGGAAGGCCUGGGUUCACGUCCCAGCCCGUGCA
rfam:TPA: Bos taurus chromosome 27, whole genome shotgun sequence.